CCUAGGAAUCUGCCUGGUAGUGGGGGAUAACGCUCGGAAACGGACGCUAAUACCGCAUACGUCCUACGGGAGAAAGCAGGGGACCUUCGGGCCUUGCGCUAUCAGAUGAGCCUAGGUCGGAUUAGCUAGUUGGUGAGGUAAUGGCUCACCAAGGCGACGAUCCGUAACUGGUCUGAGAGGAUGAUCAGUCACACUGGAACUGAGACACGGUCCAGACUCCUACGGGAGGCAGCAGUGGGGAAUAUUGGACAAUGGGCGAAAGCCUGAUCCAGCCAUGCCGCGUGUGUGAAGAAGGUCUUCGGAUUGUAAAGCACUUUAAGUUGGGAGGAAGGGUUGUAGAUUAAUACUCUGCAAUUUUGACGUUACCGACAGAAUAAGCACCGGCUAACUCUGUGCCAGCAGCCGCGGUAAUACAGAGGGUGCAAGCGUUAAUCGGAAUUACUGGGCGUAAAGCGCGCGUAGGUGGUUCGUUAAGUUGGAUGUGAAAGCCCCGGGCUCAACCUGGGAACUGCAUUCAAAACUGUCGAGCUAGAGUAUGGUAGGUAGAAUUCCAGGUGUAGCGGUGAAAUGCGUAGAGAUCUGGA
rnacentral:rRNA from 1 species